rnacentral:lncRNA from 1 species
UGGAAUUUAUUUAACUAAGAAAAAAUAUUUUGAUAUGAUGAAAUCAACAGUUUCAAGAAAAUACCUUGGUUGUGAUACUUAGGCCGGUAAGUAGCUAGAAGCCAAGCUUUCCCAAUCAACAACCUGCUUUCCCUUAUAAUCGUUCGACACUCCAACUUGGGGUACAUUUGCAGGUGCAAAAGGGCCAAACUGGUAACUCUUUGCACCCAUUGUAGUUGUUCUAUCAUCCUCGUUUUCGGUCUCGUUUUUGACUCGCAUUAGGUUAACUGGCUUCAAGAUUUGAAGCCCAUCUUCAUCAACCUUAAACCUCUUUGUUGUAUUAGUUAAAUC